rnacentral:rRNA from 1 species
UGGGGGAUAUUGCACAAUGGGCGAAAGCCUGAUGCAGCGACGCCGCGUGGGGGAUGAAGGCCUUCGGGUUGUAAACUUCUUUUGCUCUGAACAAGGCAUGCUAAUGGGUGUGUUGUGUGUAGGGGUUGAUUAGCGCCGGCUAACUACGUGCCAGCAGCCGCGGUAAUACGUAGGGCGCGAGCGUUGUCCGGAAUUAUUGGGCGUAAAGGGCUUGUAGGUGGCUGGUUGGGUCUGUCGUGAAAGCUCAUGGCUUAACUGUGGGUUUGCGGUGGGUACGGGCUGGCUUGAGUGCAGUGGGGGAGGGUGGAAUUCCUGGUGUAGCGGUGGAAUGCGCAGAUAUCAGGAGGAAUACCGGUGGCGAAGGCGGGUCUCUGGGCUGUUACUGACACUGAGGAGCGAAAGCAUGGGGAGCGAACAGG